AGAGUUUGAUCAUGGCUCAGGAUGAACGCUGGCGGCGUGCUUAACACAUGCAAGUCGAACGAAGCACUUUAAUUGAUUUCUUCGGAAUGAAGUUUUUGUGACUGAGUGGCGGACGGGUGAGUAACGCGUGGGUAACCUGCCUCAUGCAGGGGGAUAACAGUUGGAAACGACUGCUAAUACCGCAUAAGCGCACAGGAUUGCAUGAUCCAGUGUGAAAAACUCCGGUGGUAUGAGAUGGACCCGCGUCUGAUUAGCCAGUUGGCGGGGUAACGGCCCACCAAAGCGACGAUCAGUAGCCGACCUGAGAGGGUGACCGGCCACAUUGGGACUGAGACACGGCCCAAACUCCUACGGGAGGCAGCAGUGGGGAAUAUUGCACAAUGGGGGAAACCCUGAUGCAGCGACGCCGCGUGAGCGAAGAAGUAUUUCGGUAUGUAAAGCUCUAUCAGCAGG
rnacentral:rRNA from 1 species